rnacentral:rRNA from 1 species
CAGUAGCCACGGGAAAACGGAGGGGGCUAGCGUUGUUCGGAAUUACUGGGCGUAAAGCGCACGUAGGCGGCUUGGUAAGUUAGAGGUGAAAGCCUGGAGCUCAACUCCAGAAUUGCCUUUAAGACUGCCGAGCUAGCAGGUGAGAGAGGUAAGUGGAAUUCCGAGUGUAGAGGUGAAAUUCGUAGAUAUUCGGAAGAACACCAGUGGCGAAGGCGGCUUACUGGCUCAUACUGGACGCUGAGGUGCGAAAGCGUGGGGAGCAAACAGGAUUAGAUACCCCGGUAGUCCCUGUCUCUUAUAC